AACAUGUGUUAGAUCCAUUCGCGCGGUACUGUUCAUGAAAUCCCGUGUUUGUGCGCGCUGCCUUAUUAGACCACUGUUCGGUCCUGCUGUACAGCAUGCCUCCUUGGCCUAGCGGUUGGUGAGAGUGAUUGUGACCACUGCGUACAGGGUUCGAGUCCGCGCUAUGUCACUUUUCCACUUUGCCUUUCCAUUAAUUUUCAUUAUGUUUUCAUGUGCUUCACUUGCUUGUUCAAUUUUUUUUUUAUUUUUUUCUCAACAUCAAAAAUCCAUAUCUAACUCAUUUUUGAUCCAAAUUUGAUGAGACUUUUUUCACCAUUCUCCUUGUGAUGUGUACUCUUUUAUGGUGAUUUUUAAUAUUUUUGUGCACGUGUGGAAAAAUAAAAUGCCUAGGGAUUGUUU
rnacentral:lncRNA from 1 species